rnacentral:rRNA from 1 species
AUUGAACGCUGGCGGCAUGCUUUACACAUGCAAGUCGAACGGUAACAGGCCGCAAGGUGCUGACGAGUGGCGGACGGGUGAGUAAUGCAUCGGAACGUGCCCAGUCGUGGGGGAUAACUACUCGAAAGAGUAGCUAAUACCGCAUACGAUCUAUGGAUGAAAGCGGGGGACCGUAAGGCCUCGCGCGAUUGGAGCGGCCGAUGUCAGAUUAGGUAGUUGGUGGGGUAAAGGCUCACCAAGCCAACGAGCUGUAGCUGGUCUGAGAGGACGACCAGCCACACUGGGACUGAGACACGGCCCAGACUCCUACGGGAGGCAGCAGUGGGGAAUGUUGGACAAUGGGCGCAAGCCUGAUCCAGCAAUGCCGCGUGCAGGAAGAAGGCCUUCGGGUUGUAAACUGCUUUUGUACGGAACGAAACGGCUCUGGUUAAUACCCGGGGCUAAUGACGGUACCGGAAGAAUAAGCACCGGCUAACUACGUG